rnacentral:rRNA from 1 species
CCUACGAGGGGCAGCAGUGAGGAAUAUUGGUCAAUGGGCGGAAGCCUGAACCAGCCAAGUAGCGUGCGGGAUGAAAGCCCUACGGGUCGUACACCGCUUUUGCACGGGGAUAACACCCUCCACUUUUUGAGGUCUGCAGGUACCGUUCGAAUAAGGGCCGGCUAAUUCCGUGCCAGCAGCCGCGGUAAUACGGAAGUCCCGAGCGUUAUCCGGAUUCAUUGGGCUUAAAGGGAGCGUAGUCGGGCGUUCAAGGCAGCGGUAAAAUCUCGCGGCUCAACCGCGCCCCGCAGUUGAAACUGGACGCCUUGAGUUCACAAGAGGCAGGCGGAAUUAGUGGUGUAGCGGUGAAAUGCAUAGAGAUCACGAGGAACCCCGAUGGCGAAGACAGCCUGCCGGGGUGCGACUGACGCUGAGGCUCGAAGGUGCGGGUAUCAAACAGGAUUAGAUACCCGAGUAGUC